rnacentral:rRNA from 1 species
GAUGAACGCUGGCGGCGUGCCUAAUACAUGCAAGUCGAGCGAACAGACGAGGAGCUUGCUCCUCUGACGUUAGCGGCGGACGGGUGAGUAACACGUGGAUAACCUACCUAUAAGACUGGGAUAACUUCGGGAAACCGGAGCUAAUACCGGAUAAUAUAUUGAACCGCAUGGUUCAAUAGUGAAAGACGGUUUUGCUGUCACUUAUAGAUGGAUCCGCGCCGCAUUAGCUAGUUGGUAAGGUAACGGCUUACCAAGGCAACGAUGCGUAGCCGACCUGAGAGGGUGAUCGGUCACACUGGAACUGAGACACGGUCCAGACUCCUACGGGAGGCAGCAGUAGGGAAUCUUCCGCAAUGGGCGAAAGCCUGACGGAGCAACGCCGCGUGAGUGAUGAAGGUCUUCGGAUCGUAAAACUCUGUUAUUAGGGAAGAACAAAUGUGUAAGUAACUAUGCACGUCUUGACGGUACCUAACCAGAAAGCCACGGCUAACUACGUG